ACAUGCAAGUAGAACGCUGAAGAGAGGAGCUUGCUCUUCUUGGAUGAGUUGCGAACGGGUGAGUAACGCGUAGGUAACCUGCCUUGUAGCGGGGGAUAACUAUUGGAAACGAUAGCUAAUACCGCAUAACAAUGGAUGACCCAUGUCAUUUAUUUGAAAGGGGCAAAUGCUCCACUACAAGAUGGACCUGCGUUGUAUUAGCUAGUAGGUGAGGUAACGGCUCACCUAGGCGACGAUACAUAGCCGACCUGAGAGGGUGAUCGGCCACACUGGGACUGAGACACGGCCCAGACUCCUACGGGAGGCAGCAGUAGGGAAUCUUCGGCAAUGGGGGCAACCCUGACCGAGCAACGCCGCGUGAGUGAAGAAGGUUUUCGGAUCGUAAAGCUCUGUUGUAAGUCAAGAACGAGUGUGAGAGUGGAAAGUUCACACUGUGACGGUAGCUUACCAGAAAGGGACGGCUAACUACGUGCCAGCAGCCGCGGUAAUACGUAGGUCCCGAGCGUUGUCCGGAUUUAUUGGGCGUAAAGCGAGCGCAGGCGGUUUGAUAAGUCUGAAGUUAAAGGCUGUGGCUCAACCAUAGUUCGCUUUGGAAACUGUCAAACUUGAGUGCAGAAGGGGAGAGUGGAAUUCCAUGUGUAGCGGUGAAAUGCGUAGAUAUAUGGAGGAACACUCGGUGGCGAAAGCGGCUCUCUG
rnacentral:rRNA from 1 species